GAUGAACGCUGGCGGCGUGCCUAAUACAUGCAAGUCGAGCGAACAGAUGAGGAGCUUGCUCCUCUGACGUUAGCGGCGGACGGGUGAGUAACACGUGGAUAACCUACCUAUAAGACUGGGAUAACUUCGGGAAACCGGAGCUAAUACCGGAUAAUAUAUUGAACCGCAUGGUUCAAUAGUGAAAGACGGUUUUGCUGUCACUUAUAGAUGGAUCCGCGCCGCAUUAGCUAGUUGGUAAGGUAACGGCUUAUCAAGGCAACGCUGCGUAGCCGACCUGAGAGGGUGAUCGGCCACACUGGAACUGAGACACGGUCCAGACUCCUACGGGAGGCAGCAGUAGGGAAUCUUCCGCAAUGGGCGAAAGCCUGACGGAGCAACGCCGCGUGAGUGAUGAAGGUCUUCGGAUCGUAAAACUCUGUUAUUAGGGAAGAACAAAUGUGUAAGUAACUAUGCACGUCUUGACGGUACCUAAUCAGAAAGCCACGGCUAACUACGUG
rnacentral:rRNA from 1 species